GCUGGAAAGGGUGCUUUCACCAAGCCCCAUGUAUCACAGAGGCUUUUCAGAUAUGCACUGAGCAGUCACUUGGGAUGUGCAAACUAAAAGACUGCAUAAGAUUCGACUGAAUGAAUGCAGUCUGUAGUCUGGGACAUGUGGGAUCUAGUCCAUGCACAGCUUGAGAUCUGGAGUACAGUGCUGUGUUUGCAGGCAGUCACUAUCUUAAGCCUCCUCAAAGUGAGGUAGCUUAUGCACACCACUUUCAGACCACAAGAAGGGUCUGUGGGUCCCAAAUGUGUCAGCGUUUUCCAGCUGCCUUGGUAAAACCUGCAGCUGGUUUUAAUUGCGUCCCUCGGUUCUGAGAUCAUGAGCUCAGAGAAGCUUUCCUCAAGCUUCAAGAUCCCACUGGAACUUGUGGUAUUUGGACAUUGUAUUAAGUACUUUAUCUGUGGAAAUACCUACUUACUGAGCUCUGCUCACACACAUCUGCUGCUCGCUUACAGUGGAAAUCUCAUAGACUUUUCCCUUUUGCAUCAUGGGAAACCAUCUCAGAAAUGGCACUCUGGAGAGUUAAACCUCUUUUUUUAGAAAAGACUGGAGGAAAAGAAAGAUACAGGACAGCAUCCUAGUUGCAGUCCAAUACAGGGGAAGGAAUGGGGUAAAGGAGGACUCUUCUCCCUCUUACUCCUCUCCAGCAAAGGAGUAAAGCAGAAAAGAGCUGUGCAGUUGUGGGCUCAGGGAGCAUCCCUGGGAAGUGAAAGCGCUGGAACCCUUGUACCCUGGCAGAUGAGAAGGUGCUCUACCUUUCCCUCCAGGGUACCAGUAGAGAGUCCAGCUGUUUCUUUCUCCCACCCUUACAAGUGAGGUGAGAUCAGAUGAGCUGGGGGUUAGGCUCAGGUUCAUCAAAGACAGUCAAGUUCUCGUGGUUCUCUCUCUUUCUUACUUGCCAUAUCCUCAAAGGGUAUUUUUGUUGUUAUUAAGAACAAUUCUCCCAGUACAGCUGCACCUCUCUUGGAUCAAACAGUGGUAUAGCGAGGAGUUAGAGAGACUACCUGCUCCUGUUUGCUCGUUUUGAGCAAACAAGCUUUACCCAUCUUUAUUCAUUGCACAUCACCAGAACAAAUGGAGGGCAUAAAGUGCUUUGCUCUUGCCCAGGCUGGUUUAAAAAAAAAGCUGCAUUUAAUAGAGAGAAGUCUUGGAUUCUGGAAUAGAAGCCGUGUAUGACUACCUCUCAGAUGACACUCCAAUUCAGGAGAAGUGGUGAAAGGACAUCUGUUGGCAAAUUGCCUUUCUGGGUUAUUGAGAGCAGCAAGUUGAAAAACAGAAGAGAUAUGUGGGAUCCCAGCUGACCAUAAGAAAUCAAAUUGUGCUCUUUAAAAGAAAACUGAUUACCAGACAUAUUAAGCUUUAAUCUUAUUUGCAGUUAGAUGCCCCAAAGAGAAUGCUUUGUUGGAGACCUUCCAAGAACAGCUAUUGCAGACAGCUUGUAAAACAAAGACAAUGUGAUGGAAAAAAAUGCAAAUACAGCUCAACAUUUGCUGUAAUAAAGUUAGUUUAUGACACCCUUUGUAACAACCUCAACAAUAAAGGCCAAUUUCUUCAUUGGCAAUUAGCUCUGGUGGGACAGACGCUUCCCCAAAGUUGACGUGAAGACAAUAUUUACAUAUCUCUUUCUUUUUACAAAGCAGAUUGUAUCUGGCUUGUAUGUAUACUUUUUAUUUCUGAGGUUUUCUUUUAAAAACACCAUUUAAAUACUGAGUGUAAAAUGACCUCCACCAAGGUACUGCUUGUUUGCAUUCAGUUCAGAUGGGAUGCUGCUUCAUAUUCCGGUGCAGCAAACUGCCAAACCGUGACACAGUGACCUGCUUCAGCUGGGGAAUGUUUUAAUCCCAGUUCUGUGAGGAUUCUUUGGCAAGGCUGCUGCUGGCUGUUGUCCUCACGGCCCUAAGCCAUGUUGCUGACAUGAAUGAUGGUGACACAUACUCUGUCUGUGGGAUCUGGCCCCUAGUGCCUCUGUUUACCUUGCAGGUAGCCUGAACUUCAGUUCCUCAUCUGCCCAAAGCCUGGCAGCUUUGGCAUUUGUCCUGGCCAGUUCAUCUCCCUGCAGCUGUAAGUGGGCCGCUGGUGUAGGAGAGAGACUGCACCCAUGAGUGCCUGCUACAGUAAAAAUUACACAGGAGGUUUUCCCUCUCCAGGCACUAUUUUCCCCUGACCUGGCAUUUUGCAAGGUUCUGGGAACAUCAGAGGGGUGGCACGGUUUGGACAAAUGUGUAACCAAAGCAAGAAAAAUCCUUUAUUUUCCCCUUUCUCCCCUCCAGGACAAUCAGAAGGAUAGCAUUGACCGUAAUUACAAACCAUCCAAAGAUUUAAAAAAUCUAUUUAUUUGUUGCCAUGACUUGAAGAUGUAUGUAUUUUAAAAGAUUCCUCCAAUAAUAAUUUUACGAAGUUGACUUAGUAGUGCUCCACAAGCCAUAAACCUGAAUCUCAAUGUACUUCUCCUAAUACACAUGCCAUAAACUUGGUCCUUAAAUUAUAGACUACAUUUUUGAAUGUACACUUACUCCAAAAUUACUUUUUUUUUUUUCCUACAUGGUUUAGUGAGUUCAUAUCACUUCUGAAAGUGUCUUUGGCUGUAUCUAGAUGUCUCACGCUGACUUCUUCUUUUCAUGAAACUGAUAACAUUUUUGCUAAGUGAGUUUCCUAGACUCGGUUGCAAUGCAAUAUAAUAGAUAAUCGAGGUGUCAUAAAGACAUUCCACCAGAGGGGUUUGGGAUACAUUCUACGGCAUCAUCAAUCAUAACGGAACAAGCUUUAAGCUGCUUGCAUACAGUGAACUGCUUGCAAACAAUAGAUCAUUCUUGCUAAAACUUUUUAGCGUAAAUUGAAACCAUGCAUUUUUGGCAUAAGGAAGCCCGAUACUUCUCAUAUUAUUUGCCUGUGUAUAAACACACACGUAUUCAAUCCCCAGCCUAUAAAUGCUAAAUGAAGGUAGCUUUAUGGUUCCUGCAGUGGUGUGCAUUACCUCUCCUGGGGAAGAUGCCUGUCACAGUACACAGUCUCUGGUGAGUGUAUCAGCUGAGCAGCGCAGCGAAGCUCAAACAUUUAAGUUGUUUAAGCACACAAGGAAUCCCAUUCAGCUCGUUGGAGAUGAACGUAUGCAUGAGUCCUGUACCGGGCAAAGAAUGCCUCCUUGUUCUACUGUUUAUGCACUGGCUACCUUGGUAUUUUUACAUAUGUGUUUACUCUGUCACCUGACUACAAUUUUAAGCAUUUUUCAAACUGUUUUUUAUUUCAACUAUUUCAGUCAACAUUAGUCAAAGGCACUUUUAGUCUAAUCCUCAGCUUACCCUAGCCAGAUGUCUCCUCUCCACAGAGUCCAUCCUGCACUUUUUGACUCUUCCCAGCAAGGGGACAACAG